rnacentral:rRNA from 1 species
ACUCCUACGGGAGGCAGCAGUGGGGAAUUUUGGACAAUGGGGGGAACCCUGAUCCAGCGAUGCCGUGUGUGUGAAGAAGGCCUGCGGGUUGUAAAGCACUUUCAUUGGAGAGGAAGUAAUGACGCAAGUUGUUAUUGACGUUACCCAAAGAAGAAGCACCGGCUAACUCUGUGCCAGCAGCCGCGGUAAUACAGAGGGUGCAAGCGUUAAUCGGAAUUACUGGGCGUAAAGCGCGCGUAGGUUGAAAGGGCAGUGAGAUGUGAAACACCCGAGCUUACCUUGGGUUGGCCAUUUCAAACAUUCUAUCUAGAGACUAGGAGAGGUAAGGGGAAUUUCCGGUGUAGCGGUGAAAUGCGUAGAUAUCGGAAGGAACACCAGAGGCGAAGGCGACUUACUGGCCUAGUUCUGACACUGAGGCGCGAAGGCGUGGGUAGCAAACAGGAUUAGAUACCCUGGUAGGCUCUGCU